rnacentral:lncRNA from 1 species
GGCAGUCUACCCUCAUGCAAGCAUCAGUGGCAGAUUCCACGACUUGAACCCGUGACCUAUAGGUCACACAAAGACAACUUUACCGUUGCUCCAAGACUCCAACGUUCACGGAGGAUCCGGGGAAAGGCCGCAUCCCAAGGGGUGUGAUGUAGGCAGUCUACCUUGAUGCAAACAUUAGUGGCAGAUUCCACGGCUCGAACCCGUGACCUAUAGGUCACACAAAGACAACUUUACCGUUGCUCCAAGACUCCCCUUCGAGUAACCAAACAUAGUAAAAAUAAAAAUAGUAACUUUUACACUGAUUUUUAGACAUCUCUGUUCCCUUUUGAUUGUAUUAAUUGUUACUGUACAAAAAGAGUAGAAAAGGGAUCUUAUACUUAAUAAUGUGAUUUUCUACUAUGAACAAAUGGUAAAGAGGGAAUGCUAGAAAACAACU